rnacentral:rRNA from 1 species
AGAGUUUGAUCCUGGCUCAGAACGAACGCUGGCGGCAUGCCUAACACAUGCAAGUCGAACGAGACCUUCGGGUCUAGUGGCGCACGGGUGCGUAACGCGUGGGAAUCUGCCCUGGGGUGCGGAAUAACUCGGAGAAAUCCGUGCUAAUACCGCAUAAUGUCUUCGGACCAAAGAUUUAUCGCCCUGGGAUGAGCCCGCGUAGGAUUAGCUAGUGUGGGGUAAAGGCCUACCAAGGCGACGAUCCUUAGCUGGUCUGAGAGGAUGAUCAGCCACACUGGGACUGAGACACGGCCCAGACUCCUACGGGAGGCAGCAGUGGGAAUAUUGGACAAUGGGCGAAAGCCUGAUCCAGCAAUGCCGCGUGAGUGAUGAAGGCCCUAGGGUUGUAAAGCUCUUUACCCGGGAUGAUAAUGACAGUACCGGGAGAAUAAGCUCCGGCUAACUCCGUG